rnacentral:rRNA from 1 species
AUGCCUAGGAAUCUGCCUAGUAGUGGGGGAUAACGCCCGGAAACGGGCGCUAAUACCGCAUACGUCCUACGGGAGAAAGUGGGGGAUCUUCGGACCUCACGCUAUUAGAUGAGCCUAGGUCGGAUUAGCUAGUUGGUGAGGUAAUGGCUCACCAAGGCGACGAUCCGUAACUGGUCUGAGAGGAUGAUCAGUCACACUGGAACUGAGACACGGUCCAGACUCCUACGGGAGGCAGCAGUGGGGAAUAUUGGACAAUGGGCGAAAGCCUGAUCCAGCCAUGCCGCGUGUGUGAAGAAGGUCUUCGGAUUGUAAAGCACUUUAAGUUGGGAGGAAGGGCAGUUACCUAAUACGUGAUUGUUUUGACGUUACCGACAGAAUAAGCACCGGCUAACUCUGUGCCAGCAGCCGCGGUAAUACAGAGGGUGCAAGCGUUAAUCGGAAUUACUGGGCGUAAAGCGCGCGUAGGUGGUUUGUUAAGUUGGAUGUGAAAGCCCCGGGCUCAACCUGGGAACUGCAUCCAAAACUGGCAAGCUAGAGUAUGGUAGAGGGUGGUGGAAUUUCCUGUGUAGCGGUGAAAUGCGUAGAUAUAGGAAGGAACACCAGUGGCGAAGGCGACCACCUGGACUGAUACUGACACUGAGGUGCGAAAGCGUGGGGGAGCAAACAGGAUUAGAUACCCUGGUAGUCCACGCCGUAAACGAUGUCAACUAGCCGUUGGGAGCCUUGAGCUCUUAGUGGCGCAGCUAACGCAUUAAGUUGACCGCCUGGGGAGUACGGCCGCAAGGUCAAAACUCAAAUGA